rnacentral:tRNA from 1 species
CAGAAUGUAGCGCAGUCCGGUAGCGCAUCUGUUUUGGGAACAGGGGGUCAGGGGUUCAAAUCCUCUCAUUCUGA